GGGGGAUAUGGCGAAAUUGGUAGACGCUACGGACUUAUAAAAUCCGUCGACUUUAAAAAUCGUGAGGGUUCAAGUCCCUCUAUCCCCA
rnacentral:tRNA from 1 species